rnacentral:misc_RNA from 1 species
AAUUCUCAACUAUACAAGUUUUUUUAAAACAUGUGUAGCUUGGAUCUUGGGAUUUGCGGGCUUUCACAAGUCGGCUAUCCUUAAAUGCAUUAGCAGAGCUUUUGCCGCUAACCUCUAGUGUGAUAAUUAUCUACGCUAUUGUGAGGCGACAUGAAUAGAGCUAUGCUUCUAAUCGUCUUUACAGACAAUAUUUGACA